GCUCAUUUGGCAGGAUUCUUUGUUUGUUUUCAUUUCUGGAUUUGAGUCAGCUGGCUCAGAAGAAAAAUUUCAUACUUUGCUUGUUCAUAUACCUAAGCAUGAGACAUGAAUUAUAGCUCAUUUGGCAGGAUUUUUGGUGUUUGGUCUGAUUGGAACAAGUCAAGUUAGUGAUGAAGGUGAUGUUGAGUUCAAGGCUGUUCUUUUUGUUCCUCCAAAGGCUCCUCAUGAUCUGUAUGGGAGUUACUACAAUGCUAACAAGUCCAACUUGAAGUUAUACGUCAGACGUGUCUUCAUCUCAGAUGGAUUCGAUGAUCUUCUGCCCAAGUACCUGAACUUUUUGAUGGGAAACACAUUAGGAAGUUGGUUAAAGAUGGAUUCAUCAGCUGCAAACCAAACCACAUUCACUCUCCAUAUCAUGCACGGAGAAUGACAAAAGCCAGAUUGAGGGGUUUUCACUCUGGAUAUGGUUCAGUUAGUGAUUGAGAAUUUAGAGCAAUUGUUCCUGAAACAAUAAAAAUGAGCGGCUUGUUGUCAAUGAUGAUCGAGGUGAUAAGUUAAUGCUACUGCGAGCAAAUCCAGAUGCCCCU